ACUCCUACGGGAGGCAGCAGUGGGGAAUAUUGCACAAUGGGCGCAAGCCUGAUGCAGCCAUGCCGCGUGUAUGAAGAAGGCCUUCGGGUUGUAAAGUACUUUCAGCAGUGAGGAAGGUGGAUAUGUUAAUAGCAUAUUCAUUUGACGUUAGCUGCAGAAGAAGCACCGGCUAACUCCGUGCCAGCAGCCGCGGUAAUACGGAGGGUGCGAGCGUUAAUCGGAAUUACUGGGCGUAAAGCGCAUGCAGGUGGUUUGUUAAGUCAGAUGUGAAAGCCCGGGGCUCAACCUCGGAAUUGCAUUUGAAACUGGCAAACUAGAGUACUGUAGAGGGGGUAGAAUUUCAGGUGUAGCGGUGAAAUGCGUAGAGAUCUGAAGGAAUACCGGUGGCGAAGGCGGCCCCCUGGACAGAUACUGACACUCAGAUGCGAAAGCGUGGGGAGCAAACAGGA
rnacentral:rRNA from 1 species